GAUCGUAUUAUAAGUAUAGGAAUAUGGCAAAGUCACUAGUGAGCUACACAACCUUCCUUGCUCUCCUCUUGUGCUUUCUCCUCAUUUCAUCCAAUGAGAUGCAAGCGGCAGAGGGCAAACUUUGCCGAAGGAAGAGCAAGACAUUUUCUGGC